AGGAGGAAAAAUCACAGUGGCGGGGGCCAGCUCUGGAGCCCUGGAUUCAGCUCCCACAGUAACUACAGGGUUCUCUGUCUGCAGAGGCCUGGAUGCUCUGGUGCGGG
rnacentral:pre_miRNA from 1 species